rnacentral:lncRNA from 1 species
AGGUUUCUGAUAACUUUGAAGACUGUGACAUCAGAAUAGAGGAAAAACUUUGAAAACUCAUGGAGAGCUGAAAUGUUCAUGAAUAUCAAGCAGAGCAGGAAUUAGCUGCAUGAACUGAACUAAUAGAAGACUGAAGAAUCAAACUUGACUUAUGGAGACAAUAAAAGCCCCUUGGGAAAACUGGCCUCAUACUUUGUCUACGCAGUGCCUGUACAGGGUUCCUGAUCUGUGGUAAGUAAAAAAUGUAACUUUCUGACAGGUCCAGGAGCCCCAAGUUUAUCUUGGGAUCUCAAGAGGAGAGAAAUUCACCCACGCAUAGGUGUUUGAUGGUACAAAUCCAUGGCUGGGUUUCACUUCAAAAAAAUAUUAUCUGAGAUUCCUUCUGUGGAACAAAGUUCCAUCAAAGCCAAUUUAAAAGCCUAUGUAAAAAAAUAAUUAUUC